rnacentral:rRNA from 1 species
UACAGAGGGUGCGAGCGUUAAUCGGAAUGACUGGGCGUAAAGCGCGCGUAGGCGGUUAUACAAGUUGGGUGUGAAAUCCCUGGGCUUAACCUAGGAAUUGCAUUCAAAACUAUAUGACUUGAGUGAAGUAGAGGCAAGUGGAAUUUCCGGAGUAGCGGUGAAACGCGUAGAUACCGGAAGGAACACCAGUGGCGAAGGCGACUUGCUGGGCUUUAACUGACGCUGAGGUGCGAAAGCGUGGGGAGCAAACAGG